rnacentral:rRNA from 1 species
UCUUCGUCCCGUCUGAGAAGUAAAAGUCUUAACAAGGUCUCCGCUUGGUGAACCAGCUGAGGGAUCAUUACCGAGUUUACAACUCCCAAACCCAAUGUGAACGUUACCAAACUGUUGCCUCGGCGGGGUCACGCCCCGGGUGCGUAAAAGCCCCGGAACCAGGCGCCCGCCGGAGGAACCAACCAAACUCUUUCUGUAGUCCCCUCGCGGACGUAUUUCUUACAGCUCUGAGCAAAAAUUCAAAAUGAAUCAAAACUUUCAACAACGGAUCUCUUGGUUCUGGCAUCGAUGAAGAACGCAGCGAAAUGCGAUAAGUAAUGUGAAUUGCAGAAUUCAGUGAAUCAUCGAAUCUUUGAACGCACAUUGCGCCCGCCAGUAUUCUGGCGGGCAUGCCUGUCCGAGCGUCAUUUCAACCCUCGAACCCCUCCGGGGGAUCGGCGUUGGGGAUCGGGACCCCUCACCGGGGUGCCCGGCCCUGAAAUACAGUGGCGGGUCUCGCCGCAGCCUCUCCUGCGCAGUAGUUUGCACAACUCGCACCGGGAGCGCGGCGCGUCCACGUCCGUAAAACACCCAACUUCUGAAAUGUUGACCUCGGAUCACGUAGGAAUACCCGCUGAACUUAAGCCUAUCCAUAACGGGGGGGAAAA